UACGUAGGGGGCUAGCGUUGUCCGGAAUCAUUGGGCGUAAAGCGCGCGUAGGCGGCCCGGUAAGUCCGCUGUGAAAGUCAAAGGCUCAACCUUUGAAUGUCAGCGGAUACUGCCGGGCUAGAGUCCGGAAGAGGCGAGUGGAAUUCCCAGUGUAGCGGUGAAAUGCGUAGAUAUUGGGAGGAACACCAGUGGCGAAGGCGGCUCACUGGACCGGUACUGACGCUGAGGCACGAAAGCGUGGGGAGCAAACAGG
rnacentral:rRNA from 1 species